UUUCCCGGCCCGGCAGUCCCGGAUCAGGGAACCUAAACACCCCAAAUGAGCGAGUCCGGGGAGCUGGGCCGGGAUUUCCAGGCCCCCACCUUCCAGAUGUGAUUUGAUUUACAGGAGAUUCUAGAACGGUCCAGUGAUAACCCCCCUAAGGACCUGAGCCACCACCUAGAAAAGGCUCUUGACCUUUCACCCCCAGGCUCUGUCACCCAGGCUGGAGUGCAAUGGCGAGAUCUCGGCUCACUGCAACCUCUGCCUCCUGGGUUCAAGCAAUUCUCCUGCCUCAGCCUCCCGAGUAGCUGGGAUUACAGGCGCCCGCCACCACGCCUGGCUACUUUUUGUAUUUUUAGUAGAGACGGGGUUUCACCAUAUUGGCCAGGCUGGUCUCUUGGCCAGGCUGGUCUCAAACUCCUGACCUCAUGAUCCGCCCACCUCGGCCUCCAAAAGUGCUGGGAUUACAGGCGUGAGCCACCGCACCCGGACAGUCUGUGGCUCAGGACAUCCCCAAGCUGCAGAAACUAGGCAUCACCCAUGUGCUGAA
rnacentral:lncRNA from 10 species